UCGAACGGCUCUUCGGAGCAGUGGCGGACGGGUGAGUAACGCGUGGGAACGUGCCCUUUGGUUCGGAACAACACAGGGAAACUUGUGCUAAUACCGGAUGAGCCCUUCGGGGGAAAGAUUUAUCGCCAUUGGAGCGGCCCGCGUUGGAUUAGGUAGUUGGUGGGGUAAAGGCCCACCAAGCCGACGAUCCAUAGCUGGUCUGAGAGGAUGAUCAGCCACACUGGGACUGAGACACGGCCCAGACUCCUACGGGAGGCAGCAGUGGGGAAUCUUGCGCAAUGGGCGAAAGCCUGACGCAGCCAUGCCGCGUGAAUGAUGAAGGUCUUAGGAUUGUAAAAUUCUUUCACCGGGGAAGAUAAUGACGGUACCCGGAGAAGAAGCCCCGGCUAACUUCGUGCCAGCAGCCGCGGUAAUACGAAGGGGGCUAGCGUUGCUCGGAAUUACUGGGCGUAAAGGGCGCGUAGGCGGACAGUUUAGUCAGAGGUAAAAGCCCAGGGCUCAACCUUGGAACUGCCUUUGAUACUGGCUGUCUUGAGUUCGGGAGAGGUGAGUGGAAUGCCGAGUGUAGAGGUGAAAUUCGUAGAUAUUCGGCGGAACACCAGUGGCGAAGGCGACUCACUGGCCCGAUACUGACGCUGAGGCGCGAA
rnacentral:rRNA from 1 species